rnacentral:lncRNA from 1 species
GUCGGGGGGCGCCGGCUCUUCCCUGGAUUUCUCCCCCCAUCACCUUUUUCUUUUCGUUAUUUAUAUUUUGAAUUUUUUUUUGGGGGGGGGAAGGUGGGGAGCUGGCCAAAAUCUUCCCGCUCUCCGCAUGUGCGUGAUUUAGAGUGACAGAAUUGCGAGCCGGGGCUGGAGCAGCGAUAAAUCAGCUCCUCGCCGGCGCGGGUUGCCGGGACUCGCCCAGCGCCGGACGGAGACUGCGGCAAAAGAGAGGGGGAAAGGAAAGGAAAGACAAAAAAAAAAAAAAAGAAAAAAAAAAAAAAGAAAAGGGGGGUGUGGGGGAAGGAAAGAAAAAAAAACCAAAAUGGGGGGAAAUACAGGAAAAAUAACUGGGCAGCCCGCGGGCCGGCGAAGCGAGCGGGGAUUGCGCGGGUGCGGAGCGGCUGCAGCGGCCCCGGUCUGCGCUGCUCCGCGGGGUUUUCCUGUCUUGGCUCCUUUUUUUUUGCGGGUCCUUUUUUCUUAAAGAUUUUUCGGCUUUCUUUUUCCUUUUUCUUUCCUCCUCCUGUACCUUAGAUGAAAAUGGCUACCAGUGACUUGGCGAGCGUUGGGAAGGCAGAGCUGGCAGGUUGCGAGAUUUAUUUAUUUAUUCCCCCCCACCCCUUUCCUCCAAAUAAUCCAGAGGCAGAGCAAAAUCAAACAGCGAACUUUAAAGGCUUCGCUUUAAUUCUUUCCGCCCCACACCUCUGUUUUCUCUGCCCCCAGCCCCGAUGCGGUGCCAGGGCUGUGCCCGGAGGACGGGGAGCUGCGACGCCCAUCACGGUCGCCCACGCCGGGCAGCGGCUGCUCGGGGAGCGGGCAGGAAUGGGGCAAAACCGGGCAGAAAUCGGGCAAAACCGGGCAGAAAUCGCGCAAAACCGGGCAGGAUCCGCCGCGCUGCGAACUCCCUCGGCGAGUAAAAAUGGUGCCGCGGAGCUGGCGGAUGCUGCGGCGGACACUGCGCUCCCGCAUCUACAACUGUACGUGCAAAUAAAAGCGAGAGCUCACGGAUACCGCUUUCCUUCCAGCGAGGACUGAGUAGUUAAUCCAAUAAGUAUCUGUAUUGUUUGGGGCGAUGUGUGUGUGGUAGGGGGGAGGCAGUUAAUCAUGUAUCGCAAUGUAUGGAUAAAAUGGAUGAAUAUUAAAGUGACGUGGGGAAAGAGUGCCGGCGCGGGGGCUCCUUUCGGGGGAGAGGACAAAGAAGAAAGUGGAAACAAUCUUUUAAAAUAUUUUCCAUUCAUAAAAAUGGCAGAGGGCUUAUCCACCAGUCUAUUUCUGCGUCUGACUGAACAGCUAAUGCGUUAUUGCCAGCUUCAAAAGAUAAUUGUAGUGUCGGUAGAGACCUAAUAAUACAGUAGCACAUGUAAUUUUAAACAACACCUCAUUGUUUAUUGGGAUGUAACUUUCCCAAAGUUUAUUUGUAGCAUUAAGAGAUUUUUAAGUGCAGGAACAAAUUGCAAAUGAGCAGCUGUGGGGCGAUGCACGGUUUGUGUGGCUACAAGAGUUUCUAUAUUUAGUGACAAUCUGAAUCUGAAGAGAAAAAAAAAAUAGAAUAUUUUUAAGGAAAUGAUUAUUUCCUCCUGGAGGAGGGGGGAGCUGGGCUGGGGUAUCUCCUGGCUCGGGUUUUCAGUUUUCUGAGGGAGAAAUAAUGCAGUCAGUGUGUCUUUGCCCACGAGCUUCACGACCGUACAUACACCUGCUCCAUAGGCUCAGAAAUAACAUUUUCAUGCAAAAAGUUAAGGAAGGGGUCGGGCAUACGUACGUGGGGCGGUGUUGUGAUUUAUGUGCUUUUCCAGGAAUCCAAAUAAAACCAUAGCUGAGUGUAUCCCUUUGUAAGUG